UACGGGGGGAGCAAGCGUUGUUCGGAUUUACUGGGCGUAAAGGGCGCGUAGGCGGUCAGCACAAGUCAGUUGUGAAAUCUCCGGGCUUAACUCGGAAAGGUCAACUGAUACUGUGCGACUAGAGUGCGGAAGGGGCAACUGGAAUUCCUGGUGUAGCGGUGAAAUGCGCAGAUAUCAGGAGGAACACCGGUGGCGAAGGCGGGUCUCUGGGCAGUAACUGACGCUGAGGAGCGAAAGCGUGGGGAGCGAACAGG
rnacentral:rRNA from 1 species